rnacentral:rRNA from 1 species
AUGGCUCUUAAUGAACGUCUCAGCAAAUUUAAACAACAGCAGGAGAGAUGCCAGACAACUCUAUCCAGCAUUGCUGCAACCCAAGCUUCAACCACAAAGUCGCACAAUGCUCCAAGGUCUAGACCAGCAAAUGCUCCGUCAGCUCCAGCAAAACAGAUACAGGCUAUUAAAUUCUCAAAUGAUACAGAAAGGCUUCAACACAUCAAUUCAGUGAGGAAGUCUCCUGUCGGAGCACAGAUCAAAUUAGUUAUUGAACUGCUUUACAAGACAAGACUUGCUUAUACAGCAGAGCAAAUAAAUGAAGCAACAUAUGUUGCAAUUAAUAGUAACAAGGCAGUCUUUGAUAGUCUGACAAACAAUCCCAAAGUACAAUUUGAUGGGAAGCGUUUCUCUUACAAGUCCAAGCAUGAUUUGAAGGGGAAAGAUCAAUUGCUUCAUUUGAUCAGAAGGUUUCCUGAGGGUCUUCCUGUUGUGGAGGUCAAGGAUUCAUAUCCAACCGUAUUGGAUGAUCUACAGGCUCUCAAAGCCUCAGGUGACGUCUGGUGGCUGUCAAGCAUGGACUCCCAGGAAGACAUUGUGUACCCAAAUGAUCCCAAAUCGAAGAUCAAGGUCGAUGCUGACUUGAAGCAGCUUUACCGGGAGAUAGAGCUGCCACGGGACAUGAUCGACAUCGAGAAGGAGCUGCUGAAGAACGGGCACAAGCCAGCAACCGACACGACCAAGCGGCGUGCAGCGGCGCAGAUUCAUGGCCAGCGACCAAAGCCGAAGGCCAAGAAGAAGCAGAAAGAGAUCACUAAAAGGACCAAGCUCACCAACGCGCAUCUGCCUGAGCUGUUCGACCUGCCCCGUUAA